GACGAACGCUGGCGGCGUGCUUAACACAUGCAAGUCGAACGGAAAGGCCCUGCUUUUGUUGGUUGCUCGAUUGGCGAACGGGUGAGUAACACGUGAGUAACCUGCCCUUGACUUUGGGAUAACUUCAGGAAACUGGGGCUAAUACCGGAUAGGAUCUCCUGCUGCAUGUUGGGGGUUGGAAAGUUUCGGCGGUUGGGGCUGGACUCGCUGCUUAUCGGCUUGUUUGUGGUGUAGUGGAUUACCAAGGCUUUGACGGGUAGCCGGCCUGAGAGCGUGACCGGCGACAUUGGGACUGCGAUACGGACCAGACUCCUAUGGGACGCAGCAGGGGGGAAUAUUGCACAAUAGGCGGACGCCUGAUGCAGAAACGUUGCGUGCGGGAUGCCGGGUUUCGGGUUGUAAACAGCUUUCGCAUGUGACGAAGCGUGCGUGACGGUAAUGAGUAAAGAAGCAACGGCUAACUACGUG
rnacentral:rRNA from 1 species